CUCGGAUAGGCUCGCGCUUGGUCACUUCACCCGGUGAGGAAGCGACCAAGAUUAGAGAAAUUGAAGAAAUUUUGUUCUUCAAGAUUAAAGCUGCAAGUGAUGUUUUGGGAAAUCGCUAAUUCGGGUUGACUAUCAUUUUGCUCGCAAGUUUUGCUCAUUGAUGAUUGGAGUAUUACUAGGUUGAAUCGGGAGCAAUGCCAUGAAUGGACAACAAAUGUGGCCUAAAGUCAAUGGUGAGCCAAUCAAACCUCCAUCUUACGGAAGGAAAAGGGGGAGAGAAAAGAAAAAUAGAAUCAAGGAUACGGAUGAGCGAAGUAGUGAUGGUAAGAAAUUGACGAAAGUUGGGGUCCAAAAGCGAUGUUCAAAUUGCCUUCAACAUGGGUAUAACAAGAAAACAUGCAAGAAUCCUGCGGUAUCUAGGCCUUCCAAAGCAAAAAGAGGAAGACCAACAAAAGUUAUUGGUACGUAGGAUAAUGCAUAGGCCAACAGACCAUUUGAAAGGAACUCCGCUAUCAUCAGGAAGGAGAGAGCAUAAAUUAGAAUUUUUUAGCCACAUUUUAUUCUCACAAUACUCGCGUACAUUGUGAUUAAUGUUUAAUGCUUAUUUUGUAUCUUGAGGCUCAACAAGGAUAUGGCCUUUUCAUGUCUGAAACUGGGAAUUCGUAUUUGAGGGUAAUAUCUUUGUAGUGCCAUAUGUUUUAUAUGUAUAUAAAAAAGAAAAACAAGUUCAUAUGUCAUAUUUUUUGUAAUGCAGAUGCUUAGUAGUGAUAGGGUUAUUGACAUCGGAGGUCCAUCCUUCUCCAAUAGACAAACAAGAGCAAUGAAUGUUCAAGCUUCACCUAGCCAAUCUUCAAUUGAUAUCUCGAAACCUCCAUGUAUUGAACAAUCUAGAAUUGGUGGUGGAUUGUGAAAUUGUGGAGGGAAAAAUGCCAGUGGAUAUUCAGUGCUUGCUUAGAUGAGGAUAUUUUGUUGGACAGCAAAGUGCUAGUUUUUAUGUUUUUGUAAGUGAAUUCGGCUGUGUACUGUGUACUGUGGCCGUUCUGGUGGAUUGUGAAAUUGUGUACUGUGCACUGUGUCCGGUUUUGGCAAUUUGGCUUAGGUGGCAGAUUGUGAAUCCAUGAUCCUUUUUAGUUGCAGUUGUAAUUUUGAAUCCAUCUAGAUUCUGCAGAUCGUGAAUCCAUCUUUUGAAUCCUCUUGUGAAUUACGUGACAGAUUUUGAAUCCAUCGGGAGGG